rnacentral:rRNA from 1 species
GACGAACGCUGGCGGCGUGCCUAAUACAUGCAAGUUGAGCGCUGAAGGUUGGUACUUGUACCCACUGGAUGAGCAGCGAACGGGUGAGUAACGCGUGGGGAAUCUGCCUUUGAGCGGGGGACAACAUUUGGAAACGAAUGCUAAUACCGCAUAAAACCUUUAAACACAAGUUUUAAGUUUGAAAGAUGCAAUUGCAUCACUCAAAGAUGAUCCCGCGUUGUAUUAGCUAGUUGGUGAGGUAAAGGCUCACCAAGGCGAUGAUACAUAGCCGACCUGAGAGGGUGAUCGGCCACAUUGGGACGGAGACACGGCCCAAACUCCUACGGGAGGCAGCAGUAGGGAAUCUUCGGCAAUGGACGAAAGUCUGACCGAGCAACGCCGCGUGAGUGAAGAAGGUUUUCGGAUCGUAAAACUCUGUUGGUAGAGAAGAACGUUGGUGAGAGUGGAAAGCUCAUCAAGUGACGGUAACUACCCAGAAAGGGACGGCUAACUACGUG